rnacentral:lncRNA from 1 species
GUGAGGGCGGGGGCGGGGGCAGGGCGGCGGCGACGCCGCGCGGGCGGCGGGCGGGUGUCGGGCGAGUCUGGGCGGCGUCGGGAGGGACCGGCGAGCGGGGAGGGGCGGAGGCGGGGGGGAGGGGGGAGGAGGAAGAGCGAAGGGUCCUGGCGGGGCUCCCGGCGCCCAGCCGCCCGGGCCCGAGCCCUCAAGCCACCGCCCCCAGGCCCCGCGCAGACGCUGGACGGUCCCCGCCUCCAAACCCCCCGCCCCGGCCAGAGAAUAACUUACCUGUUUGCCGACGGAAUCGCUCCUGCUAGCCCCUCUGACUGACUCCUCCGGCUCACCGUCUUCCCUCUGGGAGGAAGGGGAGGGACUUCCUGCCUCUUUUGAGCGACUUCCGGCGGCUCCCCGGACGACUCUGUCGUGGUCCGAGCACUGGACACCACGACCGAAAAACAGGAUCUCGGAACUGGCCUAGUAAAACCCACAUCGAAUUCCCUUUUCCUGCCCCGAGUGGCCAGCGGACCGUAUGCCGUCUUGUUUUUGUCCAUCAGCUCUUGGCAGAAGUCCCUCGGAGAUGAAACCGGAAGUCCCACCCCUCCCCAAGUGGAAAACGGAAAGCCGAAGGAGUCAACCGAAGGAAGGGGAGACGCGCGUCAGGCUGAGAGCCUGGCGGCGUGUGACCGGGAAGGCCACCUGGGACUUCCAGCGGCUCCCCGAGCGGGUAACCCCCGGGCGAUCCCGCCUCCUCCCUCUCCAUCUCUCCUCACUCCACCCCUUCGCCCGCCCGCGCUAAUGCCUUUCCUUGCUGUCUUAGACUGCUCCCAGAGAUGAGGAUUUUUUUUCUGACGAAUAUGAGAAAAAUGAAGCUCAAAGAAGUGACGUAUUAUUCCCUAGUUCUGCCUGUACUGGCUAACUUUGGUGACUGUUUGCCUCUCUGAUGUCCCACGCUUACUCUCCCACACACACUGCUCCUGCUAAUCUGGCCCUGUGGCCAGGAUGUAGUCCCAGUAAAGAGACUCCCUGGCAAGAGGGAGAUGCUGCACAGACAAGGCGCCAGAACUUCACUCCCACAUCGUCUCCAUAUCAAAGCAGCAUUUUCAAACACACAGAGAAUGUUGAGAAACAUUGAAUAUGUCUGUUUGUCUCAUAUCAAAGAGGCCUAUCAGGAGUUACAGUUUAGUUAGCCUAAAUAUAAAACCUGUUUUAAUGAGAACUAUAUACAUUUUAUGUCUAAUUAGCCAAUUAAUUUGCUAUUCCUGCAUGAAAUUUACAAAACUUGCUAAGAGAAAAAUUUAGAAUGGAGAUGCCUAAUAGGAACUGAAUUAAACUAUCGUGGUUUAAACACAAAGUGGUCUGGGGUGGUGAACAUGAAGUAAUCUACACAGAAUUUGAAGUAUAUUACGAUGUACACCUGAAAUUUAUACAAUGUUAUAAACCAAUGCUACUGCAAUUAAAAAAA